AACUUGAAUAAAAAAUAAAUUUGACCUUUUUAUUUGAUGGAAAUAUGCAUUUUAUUUUUAAUAUUCGGGAAAAUUCGCAAAUUGUGGGCGCUGAUUUGGGUGCGCGCAUGAUGCUGCCUCGCGAGUCGAAGCCGCUGAAAAUCAAAAAGAGCCCAGCCCAGUCUCACUUACCGAACUGAUCCAUCAUUCUCAUCCCUGACCGCACAUACCAUCUCAAAACUUCCUCUUCUCUCUCGAUCUCUCUCUGAAACCCUAGGACCUGGAUCGGGCAAAUAGCAGCGCUGAACGAUAGGGUUGUGGAUGAUCAGUAGGUGGAAUGGGGGCGAGUCGAAAACUACAAGGCGAGAUUGACAGGGUUCUGAAGAAGGUUCAGGAAGGCGUGGAUGUUUUCGAUAGUAUCUGGAACAAGGUUUACGACACGGAUAAUGCCAAUCAGAAGGAGAAGUUUGAGGCUGAUUUGAAGAAGGAGAUCAAGAAACUUCAGCGGUAUAGAGACCAGAUCAAGACAUGGAUUCAGUCCAGCGAGAUCAAGGACAAGAAGGCUCUGCUGGAUGCUCGGAAGCUUAUCGAGCGUGAAAUGGAAAGAUUUAAGAUAUGUGAAAAAGAAACUAAGACAAAAGCAUUCUCCAAAGAAGGGCUGGGCCAACAACCUAAAACUGACCCAAAGGAGAAGGCUAAAUCAGAGACAAGGGACUGGUUGAACACUGUGGUGGGGGAGUUGGAAUCCCAAAUUGAUAGCUUUGAAGCUGAAAUUGAAGGGCUAUCUGUUAAAAAAGGAAAGACAAGACCACCUAGACUGACACAUUUGGAGACAUCUAUUGCUAGACACAAGGCUCAUAUAAUGAAGUUAGAACUGAUUUUGAGGCUACUGGAUAAUGAUGAAUUGAGUCCUGAGCAGGUCAAUGAUGUAAAAGACUUCUUGGAUGAUUAUGUGGAACGUAAUCAGGAGGACUUUGAAGAAUUUAGUGAUGUAGAUGACCUUUACAACUCUUUGCCAUUAGACAAGGUGGAAUCACUUGAAGAUCUGGUUACAAUUGGUGCUCCAGGCCUUGUUAAGGGUGCACCAGCUCUAAGCUUGAAGAAUUCUUUGACACCAACCCAAAUACCGGCCACAGUCACAUCUCCUCUUCAACAGAGUACUUCCAUCCAGGAACAAUCCGAGGAGACAGCUUCACAGGACAGCAAUUCUGAGAUUGGUCCAAGAACUCCACCUGCCAAAAAUAGUGUAAUUGGUUCUUCUGCUUCAUCAACACCGACGGGGAGCCAUGCAACUCCUAUACCUUUGAAUGUUUCAGCUCAUAAUUUGUCUGCAUCACCUGCUCCGACAAUUCUUCCCAGUUCUACUUCUGUUCGAGGUGUCCUGGAAAAUGCUGGUACUGCUAUUUCAUCUCCUGUUAAUGUGUCUAGUUCUGCAAAGGAAGAAGAGAUUGCAAGCUUCCCAGGCAGGAGAUCUUCACCUGCUCUUGUUGAAACUGGACUAGUGAGGGGCAUUGGUAGAGGUGUUCCAUCCAGCCAACCAUCAACAAGUGUCCCACUUAGUUCUGGCAUUACAAUUCCAAGCAAUGGAGGCCUUGGUGCAGUUCCUUCAGCCAAUGACAUGUCAAAGAGAAGUACUUUAGGUGCUGAUGAGAGACUUGGGGGUGGUGGUAUGGUGCAGCCUUUGGUUUCCCCACUGAGUAAUAGAAUGAUCUUGCCACAAACUGCCAAGACUAAUGAUGGAACUGGCUUGGCUGAUUCUAGUAGUGUUGGAGAGGCUGCAGUCAUAGCUGGCAGAGUCUUCUCUCCUUCUGUAGUUCCUGGCAUGCAAUGGAGGCCAGGAAGUUCCUUUCAGAAUCAAAAUGAAUCGGGACAGUUUCGGGGAAGAACUGAAAUUACACUUGAUCAGAAGGAGAAAUUUUUGCAGCGUCUCCAGCAAGUGCAGCAACAAACUCAGAGUACCAUUCUUGGUAUGCCCCCUCUUUCUGGAGGAAAUCAUAAGCAGUUCUCUGCACAACAGCAAAACCCACUCUUGCAGCAGUUUAAUUCUCAAAGCUCAUCUGUCUCACCUCAAGUUGGUCUGGGAGUUGGAGUCCAGGCACCUGGUCUCAACACUGUUACAUCUGCCGCCAUACAGCAACAGCCAGGUUCCAUCCACCAACAGUCUAAUCAGCAAGCUUUGUUAUCUACUGGUCCAAAAGAUGCUGAUGUUGGCCAUGUCAAAGCUGAGGACCAGCAGCAACAACAAAAUGUAUCUGAUGACUCGACAAUGGAAUCUGCUCCUAGUUCUCUUGGAAAGAAUCUCAUGAAUGAGGAUGAUUUGAAAGCUCCAUAUGCAAUGGACACAUCUGCAGGAGUAUCUGGCUCUUUGACAGAGCCUUCCCAAGUGCCAAGAGAUACUGAUCUCUCUCCUGGGCAACCUGUACAAUCUAACCAACCUUCUGGCAGCCUUGGUGUUAUUGGUCGAAGAAGCAUAUCUGACCUUGGUGCAAUAGGUGAUACCCUCAGUGGAUCAGCUGUGAAUUCUGGGGGGAUGCAUGAUCAGCUUUACAAUCUACAGAUGCUUGAGGCUGCUUUUUACAAGCUUCCUCAACCUAAAGACUCGGAACGUGCAAGGAACUAUACUCCAAGGCACCCUGCUGUGACCCCUCCAAGCUAUCCUCAAGUACAGGCACCCAUUGUCAAUAAUCCUGCCUUCUGGGAACGGCUGGGUCUUGAUACUUUUGGCACUGACACCCUGUUCUUUGCAUUUUACUAUCAGCAGAAUACUUAUCAGCAAUAUUUGGCUGCAAAAGAACUAAAGAAGCAAUCGUGGAGAUACCACAGGAAAUAUAACACAUGGUUUCAGAGGCAUGAGGAGCCAAAAGUUGCCACUGAUGAAUUUGAACAGGGGACAUAUGUGUACUUUGAUUUCCAUAUUGCUAAUGAUGACCUACAACAUGGAUGGUGCCAGAGGAUCAAGACUGAAUUCACUUUUGAAUAUAACUAUCUCGAAGAUGAACUUAUUGUAUAGAAGAUGAACAAAAGAUUCUACAUCGAUGAUCAUUGUUGACACUUGGUAAUUGCCUGAACUUGGGUCGGACAGUUGCUUAGAAAGUGUUGGCAACUAAGAACCUUUUAUUGAUCAUCCUCUGAUCUUUCACCUGGAAACGUGGGUGUUGGAGGCCGAAAACAGCUAAUAUAAACAUAACUGGAAAGUCAUAUAUAGGGGCGGUACUUUUCAAAAAUGCUUGUUAUCAGAAAAGCCAGUUGUGAGGAUUAGGGUGGACCCCCAAGACCGGCCUUAUCGCAUAACCCCGAAUGCCCGCCCCUCUGCUACGAUUCUAUCCUGGGACUCUUCGUAUUCCAUGGUAAAACAUUUAAAAAAGCCUGCGAUAACUGUGUCAGAUUUCAGUUCUUGUUUUUUUAGUUUCACCAAAAGUAUGAGAAAAAAAAGACUAAUUUAUUUGGAACUUAAGAUGGAUGUCGUCUCAGAUGCUAAUCUUUUGAAAUUGUGUGGAGCGAUCCUGAGAGGAUAUAAUAGAAUUGUUGGAUAAGAUGUUGGGCUCAAUGGCCAAACACGUCGAACAUGUUAUUUCAGAA